AGGGGAAAAUUCACACAGCAUGACCUCAGAAAUGCAAUUAGAAAUGCAACCAUCUUUUACGGAUGGUUGCAUUUAUAAUUGCAUUUCUGAGGUCAUGCUGUGUGAAUUUUCCCC
rnacentral:miRNA from 1 species